AGUCAAACAUGCAGUCGAGCNGACUUGCUUACAUAAUUUUCUUCGCUUAUGAUAUAUGAGAUCUUAUAUGGCCGACCGGUGAAUAGGUCAUGAGUACCCUGCUCUUUUGUGCGGAACACCUUCAUAACAUCUGAACUCAUAUGCCAUUACAGUAUAAAAUCACUUGAUUUUCGUCUGAAAUAUGGCCUAUGAUUCUGCUAUCACUCUUGGAUGGACCCGCGUCGGAUUAGCUAGUUGGAAAGGUAACGGCUUACCAAGGCAAUGAUGCAUAGCCGACUUGAGAGACUGAUCGGCCACAUUGGGACUGAGACACGGCCCAAACUCCUACGGGAGGCAGCAGUGGGGAAUCUUCCACAAUGGACGAAAGUCUGAUGGAGCAAUGCCGCGUGAGUGAAGAAGGCCUUCGGCUCGUAAAACUCUGUUCUUAUUGAAGAAAGAUGGAUAUGUUAAUUGUGCUUUCAUAUGACGGUAUAACUUGAAGAAUCCCCGGUUAAUUCCUUCCCACCACCCCCGUUAUUCCUUAGUGGGCGACCUUUUUCCGAUUUCUUUGGCCUUAAACGACUCCUAGGCGUUUUAUUAAUUUGAUGUUGAAACCUUAGGGCUCACCCCUCAAUCUGCCUCUGAAACUGUUGAACUUGAGUGAUGAAGAGGAGAAUGGAAUUCCAUGUGUAGCGGUGAAAUGCGUAGAUAUUAGGAGGAA
rnacentral:rRNA from 1 species